AGGAGGUGGGGUGGUAUUCUUUUCGAGGCUAUUGGAGCAUCGUUGCUGGCAGAGGUGAUUUUCGGCCGGCGGCGGACGGCAGAGAGACGAUGCGAUUAUUAGGGUUUUGGGGAGACAAGGUACCGGGUUCUUUGGGGGUAUGAGGGGUUUGAAAAUAAUUAUAUACUAAUCACACCCUAGCUUUGACACCGUUGGAUCGAAAGAGAUGGACGAUUGUGAUUGACGAUUGCCUAAAUGACGUCAUUUACAGAGGCGAGGUUUGAACCGGGUCUCUGAAGUGGGCUGGACCGGGUUUAUGGUGGGUUUGGG
rnacentral:lncRNA from 1 species